rnacentral:rRNA from 1 species
GAUGAACGCUGGCGGCGUGCUUAACACAUGCAAGUCGAACGAAGCAUUUAGAACGGAUUACUUCGGUUUGAAGUUCUUUAUGACUGAGUGGCGGACGGGUGAGUAACGCGUGGGUAACCUGCCUUGUACUGGGGGAUAGCAGCUGGAAACGGCUGGUAAUACCGCAUAAGCGCACAAUGUUGCAUGACAUGGUGUGAGAAACUCCGGUGGUAUAAGAUGGACCCGCGUCUGAUUAGCUAGUUGGUGAGAUAACAGCCCACCAAGGCGAGGAUCAGUAGCCGACCUGAGAGGGUGACCGGCCACAUUGGGACUGAGACACGGCCCAGACUCCUACGGGAGGCAGCAGUGGGGAAUAUUGCACAAUGGAGGAAACUUUGAUGCAGCGACGCCGCGUGAGUGAAGAAGUAAUUCGUUAUGUAAAGCUCUAUCAGCAGGGAAGAUAGUGACGGUACCUGACUAAGAAGCUCCGGCUAAAUACGUGCCAGCCGCCGCAGUAA